rfam:Camelus ferus unplaced genomic scaffold scaffold2058, whole genome shotgun sequence.
GAGGGUAUAGCUCAAGUGGUAGAGCUCAUGCUUAGCAAGCAUGAAGUCCUGGGUUCAAUCCCCAGUGCCUCCU